UACGUAGGGUGCGAGCGUUGUCCGGAAUUAUUGGGCGUAAAGGGCUCGUAGGCGGUUUGUCGCGUCGGGAGUGAAAACCUCGGGCUUAACUCGGGGCUUGCUUUCGAUACGGGCAGACUAGAGGUAUGCAGGGGAGAACGGAAUUCCUGGUGUAGCGGUGAAAUGCGCAGAUAUCUGGAGGAACACCGGUGGCGAAGGCGGCAUCCUGGACCACGACUGACGCUGAGUGAGCGAAAGCCAGGGGAGCAAACGGG
rnacentral:rRNA from 1 species